rnacentral:rRNA from 1 species
UACGUAGGGUGCAAGCGUUGUCCGGAUUUAUUGGGCGUAAAGAGCUCGUAGGCGGUUUGUCGCGUCGGAUGUGAAAACCCAGGGCUCAACCCUGGGCCUGCAUUCGAUACGGGCAGACUAGAGUAUGGCAGGGGAGACUGGAAUUCCUGGUGUAGCGGUGAAAUGCGCAGAUAUCAGGAAGAACACCGGUGGUGUAGACGGCUUUCUGGACCGUAACUGACGCUGAGACACGAAAGCGUGGGUAGCAAACAGG